CGUAAUCCAAGCUACUUUAUAUAUGCAAGCCGAAGCAUCUGCGGACCUCACUAAGAAGCAAGGCCUUUUGGAUUCCUUAGGUUUUCCUGAACCAAGUCUCAUUAUAACUCAGGGAUUGAAGAAAACGGAUUAUCAAGAUCUACGUUUUCCUGGGUCAAAGCAGGAGUUAAAGGAGGCAAUUGAGAAGUCCACUACACUUUACGUUGGAAAUCUUUCGUUUUACACCACCGAGGAACAAAUUUAUGAGUUGUUUUCUCUCAGUGGAGAAAUAAAGAGAAUAAUAAUGGGCUUAGACCGUUAUAAACGAACUCCUUGUGAUUUUAUACUCAGAAAGACGCUCACGACUGUCUUAAGUACAUCAGUGGUACUAAACUUGAUGAUCGGAUAAUUCGUUGUGACUGGGACGCAGGUUUCAUCGAAGGAAGACAAUUCGGGAGGGGUAAGAGUGGUGGCCAAGUUCGUGACGAACACCGGCAAGACUAUGAUCCCGGCCGUGGCGGUUAUGGUACCCUUUGAACUCUGCUGACUUUAACUUUAGGUAUACGAAUAUGUUUAAAUCCAAUAAGGAAGCCGUUCUAUUGAUAAUCUUAUGACACGUUACAAGAAAAGAAGUUCUGAAGUUCAAUGAAACAAUAUUUACCGGCGGGCCCAUGAUUUCAAAUAAUAAAAUUUGCGAGGAGGAGGAGAGGAGUACAAGUUCGUAGUGUGAACACUUUACGUUAGUUAAGCGCUGCUCAACCGACUAAUAUAAAUUUUUUGUUCUUUUACCAACCAGCUAGUUUGAACAAUUG